UACGUAGGGUGCGAGCGUUUGUCCGGAAUUAUUGGGCGUAAAGGGUUCGUAGGCGGUCUGUCACGUCGGGAGUGAAAACUCAGGGCUUAACCCUGAGCCUGCUUCCGAUACGGGCAGACUAGAGGUAUGCAGGGGAGAACGGAAUUCCUGGUGUAGCGGUGAAAUGCGCAGAUAUCAGGAGGAACACCGGUGGCGAAGGCGGUUCUCUGGGCAUUACCUGACGCUGAGGAGCGAAAGCGUGGGGAGCAAACAGG
rnacentral:rRNA from 1 species